CGCGUAGGUGGUAGUGCAAGUCUGGGGUGGAAUCCCAGGGCUUAACCCUGGAACUGCCUUGGAAACUGUAUUACUUGAGUCAGUGAGGGGAGGGUAGAAUUCCUGGUGUAGCGGUGAAAUGCGUAGAUAUCAGGAGGAAGGCCUGUGGCGAAGGCGGCCCUCUGGCGCUGAACUGACACUGAGGCGCGAAAGCGUGGGGAGCAAACAGGAUUAGAUACCCUGGUAGUCCACGCCCUAAACGGUGGGUACUAGGUGUAGGGCUCGUAAGGGUUCUGUGCCGAAGCGAAAGCAUUAAGUACCCCGCUGGGGAGUACGGCCGCAAGGUUGAA
rnacentral:rRNA from 1 species